AUCUUUGCGCUUGGGGCAAUGACGCAGCUAGUGAGGUUCCAACCGAGGCGCGUCAAUUGCUGGUUGAAAACUAUUUCCAAACCCCCUCUUUGGCCUGGGUUUGGCCCUGGCCAACUCCCUAUGGGGGGUAAAGUCCUACAAUUCCAGUUCAAGAAGGCUUUUUGAAUGGUACCGUUUUAU
rfam:Vitis vinifera, whole genome shotgun sequence of line PN40024, unoriented chromosome 8, chr8